GACGAACGCUGGCGGCGUGCUUAACACAUGCAAGUCGAACGGAAAGGCCCUGCUUUUGUGGGGUGCUCGAGUGGCGAACGGGUGAGUAACACGUGAGUAACCUGCCCUUGACUUUGGGAUAACUUCAGGAAACUGGGGCUAAUACCGGAUAGGAGCUCCUGCUGCAUGGUGGGGGUUGGAAAGUUUCGGCGGUUGGGGAUGGACUCGCGGCUUAUCAGCUUGUUGGUGGGGUAGUGGCUUACCAAGGCUUUGACGGGUAGCCGGCCUGGGAGGGUGACCGGGCACAGUGGGACUGAGAUGCGGCCCAGAGUGCUACGUGAGGAAGCAGUGGGGAAUAGUGCACAAUGGGCGGAAGCCUGAUGCAGGAUCGCCGCGUGCGGGAUGACGGUCUUAGGGUAGGAACCCGCGUUCGCCUGUAAAGAAGCGUGAGUGACGGUAAUGGAUAAGAAAGCAACGGCUAACUACGUG
rnacentral:rRNA from 1 species